UACGUAGGCAGCGAGCGUUGUUCGGAAUUACUGGGCGUAAAGCGCGUGUAGGCUGCUCUGCAAGUCGGAUGUGAAAGCCCUGGGCUCAACCUAGGAAGUGCACUCGAAACUGCAGAGCUUGAGUCUCGGAGAGGAUCGCGGAAUUCUCGGUGUAGAGGUGAAAUUCGUAGAUAUCGAGAGGAACACCGGUGGCGAAGGCGGCGAUCUGGACGAUGACUGACGCUGAGACGCGAAAGCGUGGGGAGCAAACAGG
rnacentral:rRNA from 1 species